CCUACGGGAUGCACCAGUGGGGAAUAUUGCACAAUGGGCGCAAGCCUGAUGCAGCCAUGCCGCGUGUAUGAAGAAGGCCUUCGGGUUGUAAAGUACUUUCAGCGGGGAGGAAGGUGUUGUGGUUAAUAACCACAGCAAUUAACGUUACCCGCAGAAGAAGCACCGGGUAACUCCGUGCCAGCAGCCGCGGUAAUACGGAGGGUGCAAGCGUUAUUCGGGAUUACUGGGCGUAAAGCGCACGCAGGCGGUCUGUCAAGUCGGAUGUGAAAUCCCCGGGCUCAACCUGGGAACUGCAUUCGAAACUGGCAGGCUAGAGUCUUGUAGAGGGGGGUAGAAUUCCAGGUGCAGCGGUGAAAUGCGUAGAGAUCUGGAGGAAUACCGGUGGCGAAGGCGGCCCCCUGGACAAAGACUGACGCUCAGGUGCGAAAGCGUGGGGAGCAAACAGGAUUAGAUACCCCGGUAGUC
rnacentral:rRNA from 1 species